rnacentral:rRNA from 1 species
AUUGAACGCUGGCGGCAUGCCUUACACAUGCAAGUCGAACGGCAGCACGGGAGCAAUCCUGGUGGCGAGUGGCGAACGGGUGAGUAAUAUAUCGGAACGUACCUUUCAGUGGGGGAUAACGUAGCGAAAGUUACGCUAAUACCGCAUAUUCUGUGAGCAGGAAAGCAGGGGAUCGCAAGACCUUGCGCUCUGGGAGCGGCCGAUGUCGGAUUAGCUAGUUGGUGGGGUAAAGGCCUACCAAGGCGACGAUCCGUAGCGGGUCUGAGAGGAUGGACAGCCACACUGGGACUGAGACACGGCCCAGACUCCUACGGGAGGCAGCAGUGGGGAAUAUUGGACAAUGGGGGGAACCCUGAUCCAGCGAUGCCGCGUGUGUGAAGAAGGCCCUCGGGUUGUAAAGCACUUUAAGCGAGGAGGAAGGUCAUCAUGCUAAUAUUAUGAUGAAUUGACGUUACUCGCAGAAUAAGCACCGGCUAACU